GACGAACCGUGCGAACGUUGUUCGGAAUUACUGGGCGUAAAGGGCGCGUAGGCGGUCCCGUCAGUCCCUUGUGAAAUCCCCCGGCUCAACCGGGGAACUGCGUCUGAUACUGGAUGGCUUGAAUUCGGGAGAGGGAUGCGGAAUUCCAGGUGUAGCGGUGAAAUGCGUAGAUAUCUGGAGGAACACCGGUGGCGAAGGCGGCAUCCUGGACCGAGAUUGACGCUGAUGCGCGAAAGCCAGGGGAGCAAACGGG
rnacentral:rRNA from 1 species